UACAGAGGUCUCAAGCGUUGUUCGGAUUCAUUGGGCGUAAAGGGUGCGUAGGUGGCGCGCUAAGUCAGGUGUGAAAUUUCGGAGCUCAACUCCGAAACUGCAUUUGAUACUGGCGUGCUUGAGGACUGGAGAGGAGACUGGAAUUCACGGUGUAGCAGUGAAAUGCGUAGAUAUCGUGAGGAAGACCAGUGGCGAAGGCGGGUCUCUGGACAGUUACUGACGCUGAGACGCGAAAGCGUGGGGAGCAAACAGG
rnacentral:rRNA from 1 species